CGAAGGGGACUAGCGUUGCUCGGAAUCACUGGGCGUAAAGCGCACGUAGGCGGCUUUCUAAGUCAGGGGUGAAAUCCUGGAGCUCAACUCCAGAACUGCCUUUGAUACUGGAGAGCUUGAGUCCGGGAGAGGUGAGUGGAACUCCGAGUGUAGAGGUGAAAUUCGUAGAUAUUCGGAAGAACACCAGUGGCGAAGGCGGCUCACUGGCCCGGUACUGACGCUGAUGUGCGAAAGCGUGGGGAGCAAACAGGAUUAGAUACCCUGGUAGUCCACGCCGUAAACGAUGGAUGCUAGCCGUUGGCGGGUUUACCCGUCAGUGGCGCAGCUAACGCAUUAAGCAUCCCGCCUGGGGAGUACGGUCGCAAGAUUA
rnacentral:rRNA from 1 species